rnacentral:rRNA from 1 species
AUUGAACGCUGGCGGCAGGCCUAACACAUGCAAGUCGAACGAGUGGCGGACGGGUGAGUAAUGUCUGGGAAACUGCCCGAUGGAGGGGGAUAACUACUGGAAACGGUAGCUAAUACCGCAUACCAUCGGAUGUGCCCAGAUGGGAUUAGCUAGUAGGUGGGGUAAUGGCUCACCUAGGCGACGAUCCCUAGCUGGUCUGAGAGGAUGACCAGCCACCCUGGAACUGAGCCACGGUCACGACUCCUACGGGAGGCAGCAGUGGGGAAUAUUGCACAAUGGGCGCAAGCCUGAUGCAGCCAUGCCGCGUGUAUGAAGAGGGCCUUCUGGUUGUAAAGGACUUUAAGUUGGUAGGCGUUACCAACAGAAUAAGCACCGGCUAACUUCGUGCCAGCCGCCGCGGUAAUAC